UGCAAGUCGAACGCGUCUCCGUUGAUGAUUUUAGGUGCUUGCACUUGAAAGAUUUAACAUUGAGACGAGUGGCGAACUGGUGAGUAACACGUGGGUAACCUGCCCUUGAAGUAGGGGAUAACACUUGGAAACAGGUGCUAAUACCGUAUAACAACCAAAACCACCUGGUUUUGGUUUAAAAGACGGCUUCGGCUGUCACUUUAGGAUGGACCCGCGGCGUAUUAGCUUGUUGGUAAGGUAACGGCCUACCAAGGCGAUGAUACGUAGCCGACCUGAGAGGGUAAUCGGCCACAUUGGGACUGAGACACGGCCCAAACUCCUACGGGAGGCAGCAGUAGGGAAUCUUCCACAAUGGACGAAAGUCUGAUGGAGCAACGCCGCGUGAGUGAUGAAGGGUUUCGGCUCGUAAAACUCUGUUGUUGGAGAAGAACAGGUGUCAGAGUAACUGUUGACAUCUUGACGGUAUCCAACCAGAAAGCCACGGCUAACUACGUGCCAGCAGCCGCGGUAAUACGUAGGUGGCAAGCGUUGUCCGGAUUUAUUGGGCGUAAAGCGAGCGCAGGCGGUUUUUUAGGUCUGAUGUGAAAGCCUUCGGCUUAACCGGAGAAGUGCAUCGGAAACCGGGAGACUUGAGUGCAGAAGAGGACAGUGGAACUCCAUGUGUAGCGGUGAAAUGCGUAGAUAUAUGGAAGAACACCAGUGGCGAAGGCGGCUGUCUGGUCUGUAACUGACGCUGA
rnacentral:rRNA from 1 species